ensembl:lncRNA
CCAUACUUGUAGAGUUGAUAGAUAGAUAGAUAGAUAGAUAGAUAGAUAGAUAAAUAGAUAGAUAGAUAGAUAGAUAGAUAGAUAGAUAGAUAGAUAGAUAGGGGUGCCAAUACUUGUAGAAUAGAUAGAUAGAUAGAUAGAUAGAUAGAUAGAUAGAUAGAUAGAUAGAUAGAUAGGGUGCCAAUACUUGUAGAGUUGAUAGAUAGAUAGAUAGAUAGAUAGAUAGAUAGGGUGCCAAUACUUGUAGAAUAGAUAGAUAGAUACAUAGAUAGAUAGAUAGAUAGAUAGAUAGAUAGAUAGAUAGAUAGAUAGAUAGAUUCUGGCCAAAGGUCGGUUCAGAUUAUUUGAGAGUAUAAAGAAAGAAAGAAAAUAAAUUCUGGUACAUUAAACAUGGCAGAUUAUUCUAAAACAAAUAUUCAAUCAAACAAGC